AACGAACGCUGGCGGCAGGCUUAACACAUGCAAGUCGAACGCGUGUAGCAAUACACGAGUGGCGCACGGGUGAGUAACACGUGGAUUAUCUGCCUCUUGGUUCGGAAUAACCCCGGGAAACUGGGGCUAAUACCGAAUGGUUCCUACGGGAUAAAGAUUUAUCGCCAAGAGAUGAGUCCGCGUCCGAUUAGCUAGUUGGUGGGGUAAUGGCCUACCAAGGCGACGAUCGGUAGCUGGUCUGAGAGGACGAUCAGCCACACUGGGACUGAGACACGGCCCAGACUCCUACGGGUGGCAGCAGUGGGGAAUAGUGGACGAUGCGGGCAACCCUGAUCCAGCCAUGCCGCGUGAGUGAUGAAGGCCUUCGGGUUGUAAAGCUCUUUUGGCGGGGACGAUGAUGACGGUACCCGCAGAAUAAGCCCCGGCUAACUUCGUGCCAGCCGCCGCGGUAA
rnacentral:rRNA from 1 species